rnacentral:rRNA from 1 species
UACGUAGGGUCCGAGCGUUGUCCGGAAUCAUUGGGCGUAAAGAGCGUGUAGGCGGCUAGGUAGGUCCGUUGUGAAAACUCGAGGCUCAACCUCGAGCUGUCGAUGGAAACCAUCUGGCUAGAGUCCGGAAGAGGAGAGUGGAAUUCCUGGUGUAGCGGUGAAAUGCGCAGAUAUCAGGAAGAACACCCGUGGCGAAGGCGGCUCUCUGGUACGUGACUGACGCUGAGACGCGAAAGCGUGGGGAGCGAACAGG